rnacentral:lncRNA from 1 species
AUCUUUCAUCUAAGGGGAGAUAACUACUUAUCACCAAGGGGAACCUGAUCAAGGUAACGGGAGGAGAAGUAUAAGGUGAUACAUCUAUUCUUCAGUAAGUGGUAGACAGGAACUUAUUCAUUACCACUGAAGAAUUCAAUGAAGCUGCUGAUUGUUCUUUGCAUAAUGGAAUGUUUUGAAUUCUCUUCAAGACAGACUAUGAGGAUUAUCUGGCAGGUAAGCAAGAACCAGAGAAAUAAAGGUGAUAUGCACAUUUGUUAUUUCUAUUCAUGAAAUCUGGAAAUGUAUUAUAUGAUCCAGAAACUUUGUAGCAUUAUUUACUAGUCCAGGACUUUACUUUUUCUAGUGUUAGUUGAGUUAUCCUCCAGAGGAUUUGCUUGUUAUGAUUAACAAACAAAUAGGGGGAGAUUGUAAGUCUAAAUGUAAAGAC